UACAGAGGGUGCGAGCGUUGUCCGGAAUCACUGGGCGUAAAGGGCGCGUAGGCGGCCUGAUAAGAGAGAUGUGAAAUCCCCGGGCUUAACCUGGGAACUGCGUUUCUAACUGGCAGGCUUGAGUGUGGCAGAGGGGGGUGGAAUUCCACGUGUAGCAGUGAAAUGCGUAGAGAUGUGGAGGAACACCGAUGGCGAAGGCAGCCCCCUGGGCUAACACUGACGCUCAUGCACGAAAGCGUGGGGAGCAAACAGG
rnacentral:rRNA from 1 species